UACGAAGGGGGCUAGCGUUGCUCGGAAUCACUGGGCGUAAAGGGCGCGUAGGCGGCGUUUUAAGUCGGGGGUGAAAGCCUGUGGCUCAACCACAGAAUGGCCUUCGAUACUGGGACGCUUGAGUAUGGUAGAGGUUGGUGGAACUGCGAGUGUAGAGGUGAAAAUUCGUAGAUAUUUCGCAAGAACACCGGUGGCGAAGGCGGCCAACUGGACACGUAUUGACGCUGAGGUGCGAAAGCGUGGGGAGCAAACAGG
rnacentral:rRNA from 1 species